rnacentral:tRNA from 1 species
CAAUAGCUCAGUUGGAUAGAGCAACUGCCUUCUAAGCAGUAGGCCUCAGGUUCGAAUCCUGAU